rfam:Zea mays cultivar B73 chromosome 1, whole genome shotgun sequence.
ACUCUAGUAUUCACCCCAAUCCACAUGUAUUGAGGUGUACUGGGUGUAAAUUGAACUAAUUUACACCCCAAUCCACCUCAAUACAUGUGGAUUGGGGUGAAUGCUAGA